rnacentral:lncRNA from 1 species
AAUGGUUGAGUGCACCUAGUUUUGAGUCUAAUUAUCAAAGGAGUACUUUGUUUUAAUUCUAAAUGUGAUUUUUCAUCAAUUAUAGGGUGUAAGGAAUCCAUUUGAUCAUUAGAACAAAACUCAAGUGCAUCAAAGGCCAAUUUCAAAGUGUGUUGUUUACUGUCAUGGGGCUUGAGCGCCUCCUAAGCCCCCUUUUUGCACUAGCUUUGGGCUUGAGUGCCCC